GGCUCGGUAGCUUAGUUGGUAAAGCACUUGUCUAGCGAAUAAGGGUCUUAAGUUCAAAUCUCACCUGAGCUG
rfam:Aedes albopictus isolate Foshan contig109917, whole genome shotgun sequence.